GUGCUCGCUUCGGCAACACAUAUACUAAAAUUGGAAUGCUACAGAGAAAGUUAGCAUGGGCCCUGUCCAAGGAUGACACGCAAAUUCAUGAAGGCGAAAAUACGUAU